rnacentral:rRNA from 1 species
UAGAGUUUGAUCCUGGCUCAGAUUGAACGCUGGCGGCAUGCCUUACACAUGCAAGUCGAACGGCAGCACGGGAGCAAUCCUGGUGGCGAGUGGCGAACGGGUGAGUAAUAUAUCGGAACGUGCCCAGUCGUGGGGGAUAACGCAGCGAAAGCUGUGCUAAUACCGCAUACGAUCUAUGGAUGAAAGCGGGGGAUCGCAAGACCUCGCGCGAUUGGAGCGGCCGAUAUCAGAUUAGCUAGUUGGUGAGGUAACGGCUCACCAAGGCGACGAUCAGUAGCUGGUCUGAGAGGAUGAUCAGCCACAUUGGGACUGAGACACGGCCCAAACUCCUACGGGAGGCAGCAGUGGGGAAUAUUGGACAAUGGGCUCAAGCCUGAUCCAGCCAUGCCGCGUGAGUGAAGAAGGCCUUCGGGUUGUAAAGCUCUUUCGGCCGGGAAGAAAUCGCAUGGGUUAAUACCCUGUGUGGAUGACGGUACCGGAAUAAGAAGCACCGGCUAACUACGUGCCAGCAGCCGCGGAAUUC